GAUACAUGUCAGCACUGGCCGUUGCAGACUUGCUAGUAUUGUCGAUAUCGGCCGUUGAAGUUUGGUUAUACUAUACGCUACAAAUUCACCUUCAAGAGUCUUCCCUUGCGGUGUGUCAUGCUGUACUGUUCUGUUUCCCUGUACUGAGAGCGAUCUCGGCAUGGAUAUUGGUCGUCGCUACAGUCGAGCGAGCAAUGGGAGUUUGGAUGCCACACAACGUUAAACUGAUAUGUCGUCCCAACAUAGCUGCUGUCAUUAUCGCUCUCAUUAUCGGAUUCUCUCAGUUGUAUACCUUCCGUUGUACACCGGAUUGUCAAUUGUUGAAGUAAACAACACAGGAACAAAACAUAAAAUAUGUUUUUACCAAGAUAAUUCGAUAUGGAUGGCUCACUAUACUAUCUUUACAGUUUUAGAUGUUUUUAUGUUUUUUGUUUGUCCGUUCUGCAUAAUAAUCGUAUGUAACAUGUCCAUUUUAAUUAAAAUCAUAAAUGGCAAAAAAGCAGUUCAACCACGGGGAUGUCAAACGACAAGUCAUAACGGACGCAAAUGGUUAAAACUGUUACAUGGCGAAUAGUUAUUUUGAGCUUCACAUUCUGCUUUUGCAUUGCCCCUGGUGCCAUUUACGAGACACUACGGUUGACAUCGGUCGUUGCAUGGUAUCCCGUUGUGGGUGACGUUUGCAUGAUUAUUAUGUUUUUGAAUAACGGAGUGAAUUUUCUUCUAUACUGUUUAAUAGGAUCAGAAUUUAGAGAGGAUUUGAUGGCAAUGUGUAAAAUUAGAAGCCCAACCUAGUAUUAGUGAUAAGUCCUUUCGUCCAUUCAUUUACCGGUACACAAAGAUAAGAUAGCCAAUGGUUUUGUAUUUUUAUUCAAAGAGUAGAGUUAACGUCUAUUUUAAAUAACAUGUAUUUGCGUCGUUAACCUAAGGUUUAGUUAUCUAACUCGAAAAAAUAACAUUGUAUUCAAAUUAUAACUUUUUCUGUAUUGAACAAAUUUCCAUGUUCACCCGUCAAAAAUAGUUAAAUAAAUUACAUUUUUAAUUGAAAAUAUCCUGACACAUUGGAAAAGAAAAACGUUUGCACCUGUUCGAAAGAUAGCUAUUGUAAAAUCACGUAUUAUGUCAUUUUCAAUCACUUGUUCAUAUCACUGCAUAGCCACGAAAUACAAUUUUAAAUUCAAUAAAUAUCAUAUUCUGACUUUUAUUUGGAACGUGCAUAGUAAUGGAAAAUUAACAACAAUAUUUAAAAAAUAUAGUA